rnacentral:rRNA from 1 species
GAGUUUGAUCUUGGCUCAGAUUGAACGCUGGCGGCAUGCCUUACACAUGCAAGUCGAACGGCAGCACGGGAGCUUGCUCCUGGUGGCGAGUGGCGAACGGGUGAGUAAUGCAUCGGAACGUAUCCUGGAGUGGGGGAUAACGUAGCGAAAGUUACGCUAAUACCGCAUAUUCUGUGAGCAGGAAAGCGGGGGACCUUCGGGCCUCGCGCUCUUGGAGCGGCCGAUGUCGGAUUAGCUAGUUGGUGAGGUAGAGGCUCACCAAGGCGACGAUCCGUAGCAGGUCUGAGAGGAUGAUCUGCCACACUGGAACUGAGACACGGUCCAGACUCCUACGGGAGGCAGCAGUGGGAAUUUUGGACAAUGGGGGCAACCCUGAUCCAGCCAUGCCGCGUGAGUGAAGAAGGCCUCGGUUGUAAG